ACGGCGAGUGAAGCGGGAAGAGCUCAAAUUUGAAAUCUGGUGGCCUCAGGUCAUCCGAGUUGUAAUCUAUAGAAGUGUUUUCCGUGCUGGCUCAUGUACAAGUCCCUUGGAACAGGGCGUCAUAGAGGGUGAGAAUCCCGUCCUUGACAUGAACUACCAGUGCUCUGUGAUACAUUUUCAACGAGUCGAGUUGUUUGGGAAUGCAGCUCAAAAUGGGUGGUAAAUUCCAUCUAAAGCUAAAUAUUGGCGAGAGACCGAUAGCGAACAAGUACCGUGAGGGAAAGAUGAAAAGCACUUUGGAAAGAGAGUUAAACAGUAUGUGAAAUUGUUAAAAGGGAAACGAUUGAAGUCAGUCGUGCUCUUUGGAUUCAGCCGGUUCUGCCGGUGUACUUCCUUUGAGUGGGGUCAACAUCAGUUUUGAUCGCUGGAUAAAGGCUGGAGGAACGUAGCACCCCCGGGUGAACUUAUAGCCUCCUGUCACAUACAGUGGUUGGGACUGAGGAACGCAGCACGCCUUUAUGGCCAGGAUCCGUCCAUGUACGUGCUUAGGAUGUUGACAUAAUGGCUUUAAACGACCCGUCUUGAAC
rnacentral:rRNA from 1 species